CUGUGAUAAUGUAGCAUAAUAAUUAGCCGCUUAAUUAGCGGAUAGUAUGAAAGGCUAAACGAACCCUUCACUGUCUUAAAAAAAGAAAAAAUGAAAUUUAAACAAUAGUCAAGAUGCUAUUUAAGAUUGUAAGACGAAAAGACCCUAUAGAGCUUAACUAUAAGCUCUUAAAUUGAGAGUUUGGUAGUUUAGUUGGGGCGACUAACUUCUAAAAAUAACGAAGAUAAGCAAAGUUAUUUAUAAACUUACUGUAAAACUAAUUAAUUUAACAGUUACUAAAAUAGGCAAAAAGACCCAUUACUCCUACGUAGUAAGAAUAAUGAUUAAUAAACAAAAGCUACCUUAGGGAUAACAGGAUAAUUUUGCUAUAAAGACCACAUUGAAAGCAAAGUUUGUCACCUCUAUGUUGAAUUGAGAUAACCUAACAAAGCAGAAUUUGUCAAAGGUAGGUCUGUUCGACCUUUAAAAU
rnacentral:rRNA from 1 species